GAAUUCACUAGUGAUUUGGCGGCGUGGAUAAGACAUGCAAGUCGAACGAGAGAAUUGCUAGCUUGCUAAUAAUUCUCUAGUGGCGCACGGGUGAGUAACACGUGAGUAACCUGCCCCCGAGAGCGGGAUAGCCCUGGGAAACUGGGAUUAAUACCGCAUAGUAUCGAAAGAUUAAAGCAGCAAUGCGCUUGGGGAUGGGCUCGCGGCCUAUUAGUUAGUUGGUGAGGUAACGGCUCACCAAGGCGAUGACGGGUAGCCGGUCUGAGAGGAUGUCCGGCCACACUGGAACUGAGACACGGUCCAGACACCUACGGGUGGCAGCAGUCGAGAAUCAUUCACAAUGGGGGAAACCCUGAUGGUGCGACGCCGCGUGGGGGAAUGAAGGUCUUCGGAUUGUAAACCCCUGUCAUGUGGGAGCAAAUUAAAAAGAUAGUACCACAAGAGGAAGAGACGGCUAACUCUGUGCCAGCAGCCGCGGUAAUACAGAGGUCUCAAGCGUUGUUCGGAAUCACUGGGCGUAAAGCGUGCGUAGGCUGUUUCGUAAGUCGUGUGUGAAAGGCGCGGGCUCAACCCGCGGACGGCACAUGAUACUGCGAGACUAGAGUAAUGGAGGGGGAACCGGAAUUCACGGUGUAGCAA
rnacentral:rRNA from 1 species